CAGCGGGGUUUUAAAGAUGUCUGCGCCUUAUGGGUAAGCUUGUGGACCCGUUUCCUCCCCUUAAAAUUGGGAAAUGUUAAGAUCGCGCUUGCUACGCAGUUUUUUCCGUUCCCUCCCUGGCAGAAGGAGAUUUGGAGCGUACAGUGUUCUCCCUCUUUGUUUCCUCGUGGGGGCUAUGCUUGAAUUCACUAUGAUAAAACUGAAAGUUGGUGAAGUUAACUUUUAUUCAAUAUGGACAAAAAGAAUGGCCAAAAAAGCAGCAGCAAGACGUCUUCUUAUCAAUGAGAAAAUUAAUGUUAUGUAUCUAUUGGACGAGUAAUCAAAGACUUGAUAUCUUAUAAAAUAGUGCAAGGAGAUAAUUUUUCUCAAUACAGGUUUUCUGUUGAGGGCAGUGAAGAUCACAUAAAAUAACUGUUGAUAAGAAAAGCAAACUGUAAAGGGAAAGAAGAACCCAUAGAAUCUGGAAAAAACAUCAUACAAACAAUUGUGAUAAGGAAAAGAUUUAGUAUAUAAGAAAGAUCUGCUGCUGAGUACCUGCUUUUGACAAAAA
rnacentral:lncRNA from 1 species